rnacentral:rRNA from 1 species
UACGGAAGGGAGCUAGCGUUGUUCGGAAUCACUGGGCGUAAAGCGCACGUAGGCGGAUGUGUCAGUCAGGGGUGAAAUCCCGGAGCUCAACUUCGGAACUGCCUUUGAUACAGCACGUCUUGAGUCCGGAAGAGGUGGGUGGAAUUCCUAGUGUAGAGGUGAAAUUCGUAGAUAUUAGGAAGAACACCGGUGGCGAAGGCGGCCCACUGGUCCGGUACUGACGCUGAGGUGCGAAAGCGUGGGGAGCAAACAGG